UACGUAGGGUGCAAGCGUUGUCCGGAAUUAUUGGGCGUAAAGAGCUCGUAGGCGGGUUGCCAAGUUUGGGGUGAAAUCCUCCGGCUCAACCGGGGAAGUGCCUUGAAUACUGGCGGUCUCGAGGGAGGUAGGGGCGUGCGGAACUAACGGUGGAGCGGUGAAAUGCGUUGAUAUCGUUAGGAACUCCGGUGGCGAAGGCGGCACGCUGGACCUCUUCUGACGCUGAGGCACGAAAGCCAGGGGAGCGAACGGG
rnacentral:rRNA from 1 species